UACGUAGGGUGCAAGCGUUGCCCGGAUUUAUUGGGCGUAAAGGGCGCGUAGGCGGCUCGGCACGUCCGUUGUGAAAUCGCCCGGCUCAACUGGGCGGGGUCAGCGGAUACGGUCGAGCUUGAGCAAGCUAGGGGGCAACGGAAUUCCCGGUGUAGUGGUGAAAUGCGUAGAUAUCGGGAGGAACACCAGUGGCGAAGGCGACUUCCUGGCCUGUUCUUGACGCUGAGGCGCGAAAGCUAGGGGAGCAAACGGG
rnacentral:rRNA from 1 species